GAUGAACGCUAGCUACAGGCUUAACACAUGCAAGUCGAGGGGCAGCAUGUCGGUUGCUUGCAACCGGCGAUGGCGACCGGCGCACGGGUGAGUAACGCGUAUCCAACCUUCCGCACACUAAGGGAUAACCCGUUGAAAGACGGCCUAAUACCUUAUGUUCUCCACGGCAGACAUCUAAUGUGGAGCAAAGAUUCAUCGGUGUGCGAUGGGGAUGCGUCUGAUUAGGCAGUUGGCGGGGUAACGGCCCACCAAACCGACGAUCAGUAGGGGUUCUGAGAGGAAGGUCCCCCACAUUGGAACUGAGACACGGUCCAAACUCCUACGGGAGGCAGCAGUGAGGAAUAUUGGUCAAUGGGCGAGAGCCUGAACCAGCCAAGUAGCGUGCAGGAUGACGGCCCUAUGGGUUGUAAACUGCUUUUAUGCGGGGAUAAAACGCGGGACGUGUCCCGCCUUGCAGGUACCGCAUGAAUAAGGACCGGCUAAUUCCGUG
rnacentral:rRNA from 1 species